CCUACGGGAGGCAGCAGUGGGGAAUAUUGCACAAUGGGGGAAACCCUGAUGCAGCAACGCCGCGUGAAGGAAGACGGUUUUCGGAUUGUAAACUUCUGUUCUUAGUGAAGAAUAAUGACGGUAGCUAAGGAGCAAGCCACGACUAACUACGUGCCAGCAGCCGCGGUAAUACGUAGGUGGCAAGCGUUGUCCGGAAUUACUGGGUGUAAAGGGAGCGCAGGCGGGAAGCCAAGUCAGCUGUGAAAACUACGGGCUUAACUUGUAGACUGCAGUUGAAACUGGUUUGCUUGAGUGAAGUAGAGGUUGGCGGAAUUCCGGGUGUAGCGGUGAAAUGCGUAGAUAUUCGGAGGAACACCGGUGGCGAAGGCGGCCAACUGGGCUUUAACUGACGCUGAGGCUCGAAAGCGUGGGGAGCGAACAGGAUUAGAUACCCUAGUAGUC
rnacentral:rRNA from 1 species